rnacentral:rRNA from 1 species
GAAGCCUGAUGCAGCCAUGCCGUCGUGUAUGAAGAAGGACCUUCGGGUUGUAAAGUACUUUCAGCAGUGAGGAAGGUGGGUAUGUUAAUAGCAUAUUCAUUUGACGUUAGCUGCAGAAGAAGCACCGGCUAACUCCGUGCCAGCAGCCGCGGUAAUACGGAGGGUGCGAGCGUUAAUCGGAAUUACUGGGCGUAAAGCGCAUGCAGGUGGUUUGUUAAGUCAGAUGUGAAAGCCCCGGGGCUCAACCUCGGAAUUGCAUUUGAAACUGGCAAACUAGAGUACUGUAGAGGGGGGUAGAAUUUCAGGUGUAGCGGUGAAAAUGCGUAGAGAUCUGAAGGAAUACCGGUGGCGAAGGCGGCCCCCCUGGACAGAUACUGACACUCAGAUGCGAAAAGCGUGGGGAGCAAAACAGGAUUAGAUACCCUGGUAG